rnacentral:lncRNA from 10 species
UGAUGAGCAGCUGUACUCAGUGCCCAUGGCAGGCAGAAUAACAACAGCACAAACAGAAUCCUAGACAUUGUUAUGUCACCUGAGGGGUUCCAUCCCAAUGGUGGAUGUUGGACCAGAAGUGGCUACUAAGUCAUGUGCUGUUGGCUGUGAGAUUUAAAUCAAAUAUAUAUGAAUUAUUUAAAAAAUACUAGCCAAGGCCGGGCAUGGUGGCUCACACCUGUAAUCCCACAACUUUGGAAGGCUGAGGUGGCCGGAUCACCUGAGGUCAGGAGUUCGACACCAGCCUGCCCAAUAUGGUGAAAUCCCAUCUCUACUAAAAAUACAAAAUUAGCCAGGCGUGGUGGUGGGUACCUGUAAUCCCAGCUACUCAGGAGGCUGAGGCAGGAGAAUCACUUGAACCUGGGAGGCAGAGGUUGCAGCGAGUGGAGAUCGUGCCAUUGCACUCCAGCCUGGCAACAAGUGUGAAACUCCACCUCAAAAAACAAAAAACAAAAAACAAACAACUAACCAGGUGUGAUGGCUCACACCUAUAAUCCCAGCACUUCGGGAGGCUGAGGGGGGAGGAUGUCUUGAGCCCAGUAGUUUGUAACCAGCCUGAGCAACGUAGCAGGACCUCAUUUCUACAAAAAAUUUAAAUAAAUUAGCCGGUUGUGGUGGCACACGUCUAUAGUCCCAGCUACUUGGGAGGCUGAGGCAGAAGGAUCAUUUGAGCCCAGGAGUUUGAUGUUGCAGUGAGCUAUCAUUGUGCCAUGCCACUGCACUCCAGCCUGGGAGGCAGAGCCAGACCCUGUCUUCUCUCCCCUCAAAAAAUACUGCAGUAUUGCUUUCGUAGGUUAGGUACCCCACAAAAUAGACUCUGAGACGCUGAGAUUUGCAUACUAAAGGUUUCUUAGUGAGCACCCCUGGAACAACAGCUAUGAGGAGUAAGGGAAGUAGGAAUGGGGGCAAAGGAAUUGAGGCAAGGGGUCCAGGUCUUCAUUCCCACUCUUAGCCCCCAUCAGCCAAUCAUCAACCAGCCAACAAUCCCACAGCUGGGGAACAAGCGCCUUGAUCCUGAAGUGGGACCUGGGUGCUGGUGCCCUACUCCAAGCUGUCUGCUACAAUUGCUCACUUCCCAAGUAUCUCCAUGUUUAUUAUCCCAUUUUACCUAGCCACUAGCCUGUGAGGUAGCCAGGGCCAGGUAGGGCGCAUUCUUCCCUGUUAAUACACAGGAGAAAUGGAACUCCUGAGAAUGUGAAAGGCUUGUCCAGAGCUGCCUGCAACUUGUCUCUGGCUCUCACCCAGAGUGAUCUCUACUUAGCACAUUGUAUUCAUUUUUUCCUACGUCCAGAGUCUAUAGAACUGUGGAAUGUAAGAAUGAGAAAAGAUAGUGAAGGCCAAGUCGUCCAGCCAGCUCACUUUAAAACCCGCCAGGCAUGGUGGCUCAUGCCUGUAAUCCUAGCACUUUGGGAAGUCAGGGCAAGAGGAUCACUUGAGCUCAGGAGUUUGAGACUGGCCUGGCCAACACGGCAAGAGCUUGUCUCUACAAAAAAUUUUUAAAAAUUAGCUAGGUGCAGUGGCUCAUGCCAAGAGUCCCAGUUACUUAGAAGGCUGAGGUAGGAUUGGUUGAGCUCAGGAACUCAAGGCUGCAGUGAGCCACGAUUGUACCACUGCACUCCAGCAGUGGUACAAAAAAAAAAAAAAAGUAAAGAUAUAAGAGAACAGGCUUGGAGGAGGGGGACAAUUGCACCCAAAGUCUGUGGCAGAGCCCAAUCUUAUGAUCAGAUUUCCUUCACCCAAGAGCCAGUUUAGAUUACCUAGGAAGUGCUGGGCACAGUGUGUCAUGCAGGAGCUACAGACAUGGGCAGGUUACAGGCCCUGUCCUAGGGGAUUUUAGAAUACAGUAAGUUCUCUUCUCUUCUCCUUUUCUUUUUUUCCUUCCUUCCUUCCUUCCCUUCCUCCCUUCCUCCCUCCCUUCCUCCCUUUUUCUUUCUUUCCCUCUCUUUCUUUCCUUUUCUUUCUUUCUCCUUCCUUCCUUCCUUCCUUCCUUUUCUUUCUUUCUUUCUUUCUUUCUUUCUUUCUUUCUUUCUUUCUUUCUUUCUUUCUUUCUUUCUUUCUUUCUUUCUUUCUUUCUUUCUUUCUCUUUUCUCUUCCUUUGUUUUCUUUCUUUCACAUCUUACCCUGUCACCCAGGCUGGAGGAGAGUGGUGCAAUCAACCAUGGCUCACUGCAGCCUCUACCUCCCAGAAGCAAGUGAUCCCCAGCCUCCUGAGUAGCUGGGACCACAGGUAUGUGCCACCACACCCUGCUAAUUUUUGUAUUUUUUUCAAGGGCUUGCCAUGUUGCCCAGCCUGGUUGAUAUGGUUUGGUUCUGUGUCUCCACCAAAAUCUCAUCUUGAAUUGUAAUCCCCAUAACCCCCAAAUGUCGAGGGAGGGAUCAGGUGGGUGGUGAUUGGAUAAAGGGAGUGGUUUCCUCCAUGCUGUUCUCAUGGUAGUGAGUGAGUUCUCAUGAGAUCUGAUAGUUUUAUACGGCAGUUUUUCCUGAUCUUGCUCACUCUCUCUCCUGUUGCCUUGUGAAGAAGGUGCCUGCUUCCCCUUCCAUCAUGAUUGUAAGUUUCCUGAGGCCUCCCCAGCCAUGCAGAACUGAGUCUACUAAACCUCUUUCCUUAUAAUUACCCAGUAUUUCUUUAUAGCAGUGUGAAAAUGGUCUAAUACACUUGUCUUGAACUCCUGCCUCAAGCGAUCCUCUGGAACCUUGGCCUCCCAGAGUGCUGGGAUUACAGGCAUGUGCCACUACGCCCUGCUCACUCGGUUUCUACAGUCUCAUUUUAAUAAUUUUAAUGAGACAGAGGGGAUGAAACUUGUUGUUCUAGCCUGUCUCUCUCAUCACCUUGAGAAGUCUGAAUCAGGAAAAAAUAGCAUAUUGUUGCUUCAGAAUGAGUAAGCUGUGUUCUCCCUAUGUUCCAAAUUGCCAAUUAAGUUAAAUACUCCCGAAAGACACACAUGGAUGACUCCUCCCUUGAUUUUCCCCAAGAUUCAUUUCCAGACUAGUGUCAUGGUAAACAUGACUAAGACUAAGAAAGCAGACACCUCCUUUCUUUUCCUCCUUCUCUUUAAAUGACUUUCCAGUACUUCUACAAUCUUUUAUUCUAUAUUUGGACACAAGAUAACUGUUGUAUGGGGUAAAGUGGGUGGGGUUUGUGUUGAUGAAGUCACAGACCUAUCUUCACCGCAAACCUUCCCAGGGUUCAUCCCAUAGCUAAGACCAAAGUGAUGCAUGUCUACCCAGGGGCAGGCAGAGGACAUUUGCCCUUUUCUCAUUCACCUCUCCCCAAGAGGUGACUUAGGAACUUCCCUAAGAAGUUUCCUAGUCAAAACUUCUUUCUUGGUGACGACUGGUCACUGUUUACAGCCCCUUGUUUCUCUCCUCUAUUGGAGUGGUUAGUCAGUCGCCUCAACCCUACUAAUAAAAAUAAACCAGGUGAUACUCUGGUUUCUCUUCAGAUCAUAUAAAUCUUUCACCUUUUACUAAAGAUUCCUGUGGAGAGUUUUUGAGUUUUUAGCUAAUUUUUUGAGCCUUUGCUUUAGCAAGGCUAGUAUAAAGAAGAAGAAGAAGGGGGCGAGGGGGAAACAAUGGCUGGGUGUGGUGGGUCACACCUGUAAUCCCAGCAGUUUGGGAGGCCGAGGCGGGUGGAUCACUUGAGGUCAGGAGUUCGAGACCAACAUGACCAACAUGGUAAAACCCUGUUGCUACUAAAAAAAUACAAAAAUUAGCCAGGCAUGAUGGCACACGCCUGUAGCUCCAGCUAUUUAGGAGGCUGAACCAGGAGAACCACUUGAACCCUCGGGAGGCAGAGGUUGUGGUGAGCCAAGAUCACGCCACUGCACUCCAGCCUGGGAGACAGAGUGAGACUCCAUCUCAAGAAAAAAAAACAAAAGCAACAACAACAAAACCCAGGUGAACUUGAUAAAACCUGACACAAAGUCCCUUCUAUCGACCAUCCAAGUUUCUCAAAGAGCUGCCCAUAGGGGCAGAAACCUGCAUGUAUGUCUGUUCUAGGAAACAAGGCCCAAAAGCUGCUAGAACAUACUGUUAAGAAAUGUGCAUGGGAGCAUAGACCUUAAAAGUAAUUAGACUGCAGGCUAGAAAAUAAUUUUAAUGCAAAGUAGAAAGUAUCAAUCCACCUCAUCACUUUCCUUGCUCUCU